rnacentral:lncRNA from 1 species
UAACUACCCUAGUUCCUUUGCUUUUUCAUACAAAUUUUAGUCAGCUUGUAAAUGUCUAUUUAAAACCCUUUCUGGAAUUUUUAUGAGAAUUGCAUCAAAUUUAUAGAUCAAUUUGGGGAGAAUUGACAUUUUUACUAUGUUGAGUCUUCCCAUCCAUGAACACAGGGUGUCCCUCCACUUAUUUAAGUCUUCUUUGAUUUCUUCCAUGUACAUAUCUGUGGUUUCAUCACACAGAUCUUGGACACAUUUCGUUUAGAUUUAUACCUAAACAUGCAAAAGAACAAAACUGAAGGCAUCACACUACUCGACUUCAAACUAUACUACAGUGUUACAGUGACUACAACAGGAUGGUGCUGGUACAAGAACAGACACGUAGACCAAUGGAAUGGAAUAGAGAACCCAGAAAUAAGACCGCAUACCUACAACUCUCUGAUCUUCAACAAACCUUACAAAAACAAGCACGUAAUAAUCACAUCAUGGAGAAUGGGAUAUCCAUCCCUUCAAGCAUUAAUCUUUUGUGUUACAAACAAUCCAAUUACAUUCUUUUAUCUAUUUUUAAAUGUGCAAUUAAGUUAUUAUUGACUGUAGUCACCUAUUGUGCUAUCAAAUAGUAGGUCUUAUUCACCCUUUCUAUUUUUUAUACCUAUUAACCUUGCCCACCUCCCCUCAGCUGCCCACGACCCUUCCCACCCUCUGGUAAUGAUCCAAUUACUCCCUACCUCCAUGAGUCCGAUUGUUUUGAUUUUUUAGAUCCCACAAGUAAGCAAGAACAUGUAAUAUUUGUCUUUCUGUGCCUGGCUUAUUUCACUUAACAUAAUCAUCUCUAGUUCUAUCCAUGUUGUUGCAAAUGACUGAAUUUCAUUCUUUUUUAUGGCUGAAUAGUACCCCAUUGUGUAUAUGUACCACAUUUUCUUUAACCAUUAACCUGUUGAUGGACACUUAGGUUGCUUCCACAUCUUAGCUAUUGUGAACAGUGCUGCAAUAAACAUAGGAGUGCAGAUAUCUCUUUGAUAUACUGAUUUCCUUUCUUUGGGGGUAUAUAUUCGAUAGUGGGAUUGCUGGAUCAUAUGGUAGCUCUAUUUUUAGCUUUUUGAGGAACCUCCAAACUGUUUUCAAUAGUAGUUAUACUAAUUUACAUUCCUAACGACAGUGUGUAAGACUUCUCUUUUCUCCACAUUAUUGCCAGCAUUUGUUAUUGCCUGUCUUUUGGAUAUAAGCCAUUUUAACUGGGGUGAGAUGGUAUCUUACUGUAGCUUUGAUUUGCAUUUCUCUGAUGAUCAAUGAUUUUGAGCACCUUUUUGUAUGCCUGUUGGCUAUUUGUGUGUCUUUUUUUUUUUGAAAUGGAGUCUUGCUCUGUCCCCUGGGGCUAGAGUGCAGUGGUGCAAUCUCGGCCUACCACAACUUCCGUCUCCCAGAUUCAAGCGAUUCUCCUGCCUCAGCCUCCCAAGUAGCUGGGAUUACAGGCAUGUGCCACCAUGCCUGGCUAAUUUUUGUAUUUUCUGUAGAGACGAGGUUUCACCGUGUUGGCCAGGCUGGUCUCUGACUCCUGACCUCAGGUGAUCCACCCACCUCGGCCUCCCAAAGUGCUGGGAUUACAGGCAUGAGCCACUGCCCCCAGCCUGUGUUUCUUCUUUUGAGAAAUGUCUAUUCAAAUCUUUUGCCCACUUUUUGACUGGAUUAUUCGAUUUUUUUCCUAUAGAGUUGUUUGAGCUCCUUAUAUAUUGUGGUUAUUAAUCCCUUGUCAGAUGGGUAGCUUGCAAAUAUUUUCUCCCAGUCUGUGGGUUGUCCCUUUAUUGGUGGUUUAUUUUGCUGUGCAGAAGUGUUUUAA